ensembl:lncRNA
UGAAGGUACACACGUUCAAACACACAAUCACCAGGGUGUGUACACACAGGCUUGUCCCAGUGACAGAAGUAAACAGGCAGACACAACCUUUUCAUGUCCCUGCUGCCGGUCAUAAAUCCUGUUCUCUGAAACACAAGAGAAUAAUAGCCACUGUGUUCUGAGGCAAGAGGGAGCCAGGAACAAGAUGAUCACACACAAGUUUUUUUCAACUGAAAACUGACCCAAACCACUGGUCUGGAAGCCAACUGGUCCUCUACCCUGAUUAUGUCGCUGAAAUCCCUCCUGGAGCAGAGUACACAGCGCUGCAGCACUGGCAACCAUCCUAGACACCUUCCACACAUCCACAAAAAGAACACAAGAGACAUGCUCACCCAGGCAAGGUGGUGAUUCUCAGAGGGAAGAAUGCACCAUAAGUGGAUCCAGCUGAUUACUGGCAAUUUGGAGGAAGAUUGUUCUUCAUAUGCUAUGUUGCACUGUCUCUUCUACAGUCACUGACAGAGUCAUUGACCUGUUGUGCUAUCUUUUGAUUUUACUUUACUUUGUUUCCAACCCCACUUUAAUUGAAACAGUGAAAAUCAUAUAGGUGUUUCAAUUUAUUUAGCAUUUCUUCAAUGUUUUCAAUUGAGUAUAUUUCACAGUAAUCUUAAAGCUUAUAUUUUAUGUGAAUUUGAAUAAACAUCUGC